rnacentral:rRNA from 1 species
UACGGAGGGUGCAAGCGUUAAUCGGAAUACUGGGCGUAAAGCGCACGCAGGUGGCUGAGAAAGUCGAUUGUGAAGCCCUGGGCUUAACCUGGGAAUUGCAGUCGAAACUACUCGGCUAGAGUAUGGGAGAGGGUAGUGGAAUUCCCGGUGUGAGCGGUGAAAUGCGUGAGAUAUCGGGAGGAACAUCAGUGGCGAAGGCGGCUACCUGGCCCAAUACUGACACUCAGGUGCGACGACGGUGGG